UAAUUUUCAAUUUGCACACCUGUAGUUCAACUUAUUUUUAUUUUAGAGUUAGUUUCAUACAAAUUUUUAUAAAUAUAGUGAAUUACAAAUAUAUUUUUAUAAAAUUUAUCUUUCAUAUAUUAUCACUGUAAAAGUCCCGAUGUUUUCAAAUAUAUUCCUGCCGUUAGAAUUCGUUAGAAAGAAUUGGUUAACCAUAAGUUAAAUAUAAGAAAAAACUUCAAAACCACCCCCCCGUGGUUUCGUAUUUUCUCACUUUAGUACUCUGUGGUUUAAAAUGUAGCAAUUUGUCCCCUUGUGAUUUUGUUUUGAUCUUUUCGGCAAUUUUUUUCGUAAUAUUUCAUUAAAUUAUAUACAAAAAACUUCAGAUACCCACCUAGAUUUAUCGAAUAUUUACUUUAGUAUUCUUUAAUAUAUUAAUUUUGUCACUGAUUUAAGAAAAUAAUAAUAAUAAAAUUGAUAAUAAAAAAGAAAAACAGAACCACAGGAGGGCAAAUUGAUAUAUUUUAAACUAUAGGGUACUAAAGUGAGAAAGUGCGAAACCACAAGGAGGGUUUUUGAAGUUUUUUCUAAAUAUAAUUAGUUAAUGAGGUGAAUUGACCUUCUUAUCCCUCUUUAAUUAAUAGUUGAGACUUUUAAAGAAAUAUAUUUGUGAUGGUAAAAAAGUUAUUUCAUUUAUAAAAUAAACAGUAUUUUAACGGUAACAAAUCAGAGGAAAAUAUUUGAAAAUAUUAUGAUUUUUAUAGAAACAACAUAUGAAAAUUAAAUUUAUAGAGAUAUAUUUGUAAUUUACUAUGUUUGUAGGACUCUGUAUGAAAUUAACUUUUUAUUUUAUUAUGCUAUAAAAAAUUUAUUAUUAAAUGGAUUGGCAUAGUAAUAUUUUUUGAUAAGUAUAGGGAAUUAACUGUAAUUUUUUUGAACCACGAGAUGAUAAAGUAAAAAUA
rnacentral:lncRNA from 1 species